ensembl:lncRNA
CAGAGUCAAUGUGAAGGCUAUAUACAGGGGGUACCGGUACAGAGUCAAUGUGGAGGCUAUAUACAGGGGUACCAGUACAGAGUCAAUGUGGAGGCUAUAUACAGGGGGUACCGGUACAGAGUCAAUGUGGAGGCUAUAUACAGGGGGUACCAGUACAGAGUCAAUGUGGAGGCUAUAUACAGGGGGGUACCGGUACAGAGUCAAUGUGGAGGCUAUAUACAGGGGGUACCGGUACAGAGUCAAUGUGGAGGCUAUAUACAGGGGGUACCGGUACAGAGUCAAUGUGGAGGCUAUAUACAGGGGGUACGGUACAGAGUCAAUGUGGAGGCUAUAUACAGGGGGUACUGGUACAGAGUCAAUGUGGAGG